AUUGAACGCUGGCGGCAGGCCUAACACAUGCAAGUCGAGCGGAUGAAGGGAGCUUGCUCCUGGAUUCAGCGGCGGACGGGUGAGUAAUGCCUAGGAAUCUGCCUGGUAGUGGGGGAUAACGUCCGGAAACGGGCGCUAAUACCGCAUACGUCCUGAGGGAGAAAGUGGGGGAUCUUCGGACCUCACGCUAUCAGAUGAGCCUAGGUCGGAUUAGCUAGUUGGUGGGGUAAAGGCCUACCAAGGCGACGAUCCGUAACUGGUCUGAGAGGAUGAUCAGUCACACUGGAACUGAGACACGGUCCAGACUCCUAAGGGAGGCAGCAGGGGGGAAUAUUGGACAAUGGGCGAAAGCCUGAUCCAGCCAUGCCGCGUGUGUGAAGAAGGUCUUCGGAUUGUAAAGCACUUUAAGUUGGGAGGAAGGGCAGUAAGUUAAUACCUUGCUGUUUUGACGUUACCAACAGAAUAAGCACCGGCUAACUUCGUG
rnacentral:rRNA from 1 species